GACGAACGCUGGCGGCGUGCUUAACACAUGCAAGUCGAACGGAAAGGCCCUGCUUUUGUGGGUUGCUCGAGUGGCGAACGGGUGAGUAACACGUGAGUAACCUGCCCUUGACUUUGGGAUAACUUCAGGAAACUGGGGCUAAUACCGGAUAGGAGCUCCUGCUGCAUGGUGGGGGUUGGAAAGUUUCGGCGGUUGGGGAUGGACUCGCGGCUUAUCCGCUUGUUGGUGGGGUAGUGGCUUACCAAGGCUUUGACGGGUAGCCGGCCUGAGAGGGUGACCGGCCACAUUGGGACUGAGAGACGGCCCAGACUCCUACGGGAGGCAGCAGUGGGGAAUAUUGCACAAUGGGCGGAAGCCUGAUGCAGCAACGCCGCGUGCGGGAUGACGGCCUUCGGGUUGUAAACCGCUUUCGCCUGUGACGAAGCGUGAGUGACGGUAAUGGGUAAAGAAGCACCGGCUAACUACGUG
rnacentral:rRNA from 1 species